UACAGAGGGUGCAAGCGUUAAUCGGAAUUACUGGGCGUAAAGCGUGCGUAGACGGUUACAUAAGUCGGGUGUGAAAGCCCCGGGCUCAACCUGGGAAUUGCAUUCGAGACUGCGUAGCUAGGGUGCGGGAGAGGGAAGCGGAAUUUCCGGUGUAGCGGUGAAAUGCGUAGAUAUCGGAAGGAACACCAGUGGCGAAAGCGGCUUCCUGGUCCAGCACCGACGUUCAGGCACGAAAGCGUGGGGAGCAAACAGG
rnacentral:rRNA from 1 species